rnacentral:rRNA from 1 species
UUGACCUCGGAUCAGGUAGGGAUACCCGCUGAACUUAAGCAUAUCAAUAAGCGGAGGAAAAGAAACCAACCGGGAUUGCCUCAGUAACGGCGAGUGAAGCGGCAAGAGCUCAAAUUUGAAAGCUGGCCCCUCCGGGGUCCGCAUUGUAAUUUGCAGAGGAUGCUUCGGGUGCAGCCCCCGUCUAAGUG